CUGAAAUACCAGUUCCCGUACAAUCACCGAAGUUGAGCAGCGUCGAGCAUAGACAGUACCUUGAUGGGUGACUACUUAGGAAUACAAGGUGCUAUA